GAUGAACGCUGGCGGCGUGCUUAACACAUGCAAGUCGAACGAUGAUCCCAGCUUGCUGGGGGGUUAGUGGCGAACGGGUGAGUAACACGUGAGUAACCUGCCCUUGACUCUGGGAUAAGCCUGGGAAACUGGGUCUAAUACCGGAUACGACCAUCUGGCGCAUGUCAUGGUGGUGGAAAGCUUUUGUUGGUUUUUGGAUG
rnacentral:rRNA from 1 species